GAAAAUUUCUCUUUCUUCUUCCUCAUACGUAAAUCUCCCUUUCUUCUUCUCCGUUCACCCUAGCAGCCGCCCACCCCUUUCCUUUUUCUUCUUCUGUUUGCCGCAGCCGCCUAUCAUCUCCCUAUCUUCCCUUCCGUCCGUCGAAGCCAAGGCCGCCGCGUGAGCCUAUAACCGCCGGCUGUCUCUCCUCUCCUUUCUCCUCUGUUUUCUGCCCAGCGCCGCGUGACCCUUCGCCCAGCGCCGUGUGACCCUCUGCCCAACCCCACCGCACAACCUUUGUCUCCGUCUAAGCCAAGUCCAGCCGUACGCCGUCUCUCCAUCACGAAUCACUCUGUUUCCCGAAGCUCCGCCGCUCCACCUGCUAUCGACGUCGGCCGACUAGUUGCUGUAACCGUUCAGAUUCGCGGUUUGUUCGCGUCGGUCUCCAUCCGUGAAGCCCAGCCGCCACGUCUCCUUUGGCCGACCGCUGACCGACCCACACUUAGGAUUUUUAUUGCGAGAGUUCGACAGUCGUGCGUCGAGGUGUUGGGAGUAACGUUGGGGUCCCUUAAAUUCACAACCAAUUUGUGAAUUGUUGAGGGUUCAGUUCGCCAAUACUUCGGAUUGUUUCGUGGACGUUAGUUGAUUAAAGAGCUUCCCUAACUUUGACGGACGUUAGUUGAUUAAGGAGCUUCCCUAACUUUGAGUUGUGCUAGAGCAUAUACACCAUUGGAGUUUGAGUAUUACAUGAGACAAUUUGAUCAUCUUUCUCCAUCCAUUAGACAUGAAUUGGAAGAGGUUGGAAGAUCCAGUGGACUAGGCCAUAUUUCAGGAGGAGAAGAUACUCGAUGACAACCAACAUUUCUAAAAAUAUGAAUUCAAUUCUGAAAGAAGCACGAGAAUUUCCAAUAUAUGGACAUCUUGAAUCAAUUUGUAGCUUGAUCCAAAAAUGGUUUUAUGAACGUUGUAUCGAAUGAAGUUUUCAACACACGAAACUUUCAAUAUAUGCAGAAGAUAUGAUUCGAGCAGCAUUAAGAAAAAGUUGCGCAAUGAAUGUAAGUUGUUUGUUAUUUGAAUAAUCAAUGCUACCAUUAUUAAAGAACUUAUUUGUACAUAACAUUUAUUUUAAUCUUUUGGCAUAUGUAUCCUAUAAAUCAACAUGACUUUGAAGUUCACCAUCGUAAGAAACAGUUUGUUGUGAAUAUUUUAGACCGUA